GACAGAGGCCUCAAGCGUUAGGCGGAAUCACUGGGCUUAAAGCGUGUGUAGGCGGACUUCUAAGUGCCUUGUGAAAUCCCACGGCUCAACCGUGGAACUGCUGGGCAUACUGGGAGUCUUGGGCCAUUCAGGGGCAACUGGAACAAGCGGUGGAGCGGUGAAAUGCGUAGAUAUCGAGAGGAACACCUGCGGCGAAGGCGGGUUGCUGGGCCGACACUGACGCUGAGGGACGAAAGCUAGGGGAGCGAAUGGG
rnacentral:rRNA from 1 species